UCAUAACAGAAUCAAAUGAGCCCUAAGGCGAAGCAGGAACUAUAGUGUGGGAAGGAAAAUUUAAAAAGACAUCUGUGUCUUUAAUUUAUUGCAAUUAAAGUGCAGUCCUCGAACCGCUAAACACCCUGGCUUCUUGUAUAAUUUUUUUUUUCUUCCCAGGGGUAUGAAGCGGUAAGGAAGGCUUAGACAAUAAAAUCCAGAGGUCAAUUUAAAACACGCUGGGACAGGGAGAAACUAUUGAGAAGCACCAAGGUCAAUGUAAUCUAAGGGGCUCCUCUAUCUUUUUGGAAAAGCUCUCUAUGGUGGCUGGUAGGGCGGCAGACGUGUUGAAACAGGGCAAGAAGUGGAAUCCAGGAGACCUGUUAGACCAUCUACAGUAACAACCCAGGGACAGUGAGGACUUGAACUGUGGCAGAAGAAAUGGGGAGGAGGACAUGGAUCUAAAAGAUUGGUAGAAGAAUUUGGUGAUUGAGAAGACAUGGAGAUAAAGGGAGAGGGUCUCACUCUGUGGCCCAGACUGAAGUGCAGUGGCAUGAUCUCGGCUCACUGCAGC